ensembl:lncRNA TBX3-AS1 TBX3 antisense RNA 1
GAUUUCUCUCUGACCAGGGCAGCAGCAGGCCCCUUUAGACCCAGAGGCUAGACUGGAGGGCAGAAAGGGCCGGGGAAUGGUGUCAGGCCUCCCAAUACCCACACAAAAGGAAAGGGCUUUAAGUUUUUCUCUCUGAGAACAAAAUAAAACAGACAACACAACAUCAACAAAGAAAUAAGGAUGUUCCAGGAGGGUUUGAAGAGUGAGUUUCUUGCAGUAGAGUGCCUUUUUUUUUUUUCUUUCCUGCUCCCUGCAGGGAUGUCUGUGCUCCACUGAAAAAUUCUGUCUGUUCGGGAGGGAACCCAGGAUGCAGACCAAAUGCAAGACCCAUGCAGAUGCCCAGCGGCUUGCAGUAAACUUCUUGGAGGAGAAUUGGCAUUGCAAGGGUGUUACUGGAGACCUCGGCAAGAAAGUGAAUGCAAAGACAGAUGACCCAGGAACCCGUGAUGGAUAAGGCUCUUGACAGCCAGGACGUGGAAUUACAGGGGGUCUCUUUGAGAGACAAAAUAAAAAAAAUAGCCCAGUAAUCUUCCUUCCACCCUUUUCUCCCAGAUCUAAUUACAGAUGUCUUGACAUUCCUUCUGCAUAGAAUUUCCUUAAAAGAUUUGCCAAGAAGAAACAUUUGGAAACUGUGUUUUAGGUAUAAUCCGUCUGGGAGUCACUCUUGCUCGCUUUGUCGUUAGAUGACAAAACGCUUAAUUACAGCGAGCACAAUGUAUACCACAUUUGGAAAACUGGAUUCUUGACCUAAAUAAUGUACCCCAUACUGACAAUGGCCUUUUGGCAAAACUUGUGUCUCUGAUCUCACAUUAAUUACUACACAAAUAUACUUAUUGUGGGCACCGAGUUUAUGGGAUGGAGUCCUCUUGACACAUGUUCACCAUAAAAACACAUUUUUUUCCCUUCCCCUGACCCUAAGGAAAAGAAAAAAAAAAAGAUUAACAUUUUUCAAGAUGCUGUUUUAGUGACAUGAAAACUGUCUGUUGAGUGUUCACUCGGCUUUUGUUCUUUUUCUUUUCUCCUUUUAUUAAAAAGCCUUUCAAACCAA